AUUGAACGCUGGCGGCAGGCUUAACACAUGCAAGUCGAGCGGAGAUGAGGUGCUUGCACCUUAUCUUAGCGGCGGACGGGUGAGUAAUGCUUAGGAAUCUGCCUAUUAGUGGGGGACAACAUUCCGAAAGGAAUGCUAAUACCGCGUACGUCAUACGGGAGAAAGCAGGGGAUCUUCGGACCUUGCGCUAAUAGAUGAGCCUAAGUCGGAUUAGCUAGGUGGUGGGGUCAAGGCCUACCAAGGCGACGAUCUGUAGCGGGUCUGAGAGGAUGAUCCGCCACACUGGGACUGAGACACGGCCCAGACUGCUACGGGAGGCAGCAGUGGGGAAUAUUGGACAAUGGGGGGAACCCUGAUCCAGCCAUGCCGCGUGUGUGAAGAAGGCCUUAUGGUUGUAAAGCACUUUAAGCGAGGAGGAGGCUACUGAGACUAAUACUCUUGGAUAGUGGACGUUACUCGCAGAAUAAGCACCGGCUAACUCUGUGCCAGCAGCAGCCGCAGUAA
rnacentral:rRNA from 1 species